rnacentral:rRNA from 1 species
GACGAACCGAGCGAACGUUGUUCGGAAUCACUGGGCUUAAAGGGCGCGUAGGCGGGUGCUCAAGUCCGUGGUGAAAUCCUCCGGCUCAACCGGAGAACUGCCUCGGAUACUGGGCGUCUCGAGUGUGGUAGGGGUAUGCGGAACUAUCGGUGGAGCGGUGAAAUGCGUUGAUAUCGAUAGGAACUCCGGUGGCGAAGGCGGCAUACCGGACCACCACUGACGCUGAUGCGCGAAAGCCAGGGGAGCGAACGGG